rnacentral:sRNA from 1 species
GCCGUGAGGUGUUGCCUUAAGUGGCGCAACGAGCGCAACCCCUGUCCUUAGUUGCCAGCGGGUAAUGCCGGGAACUCUAGGGAAACUGCCGGUGCCAAACCGGAGGAAGGUGGGGACGACGUCAAGUCAUCAUGCCCCUUAUGUCCAGGGCUGCACACAUGCUACAAUGCGCGGUACAAAGGGCUGCGAUCCCGUAAGGGGGAGCGAAUCCCAAAAAGCCGCGCUCAGUUCGGAUCGGGGUCUGCAACCCGACCUCGUGAAGUCGGAGUCGCUAGUAAUCGCAGAUCAGCAAUGCUGCGGUGAAUACGUUCCCGGGCCUUGUACACACCGCCCGUCACACCACGAAAGUGGGCAACACCCGAAGCCGGUGGCCCAACCCUUGUGGAGGGAGCCGUCGAAGGUGGGGCUCGCGAUUGGGGUGAAGUCGUAACAAGGUAGCCGUACCGGAAGGUGCGGCUGGAUCACCUCCUUUCUAAGGAGCCUUUGGCAAUCGGCGCCGUGCCGUCUGUGUACGGAUCACGCCGGAAGGCACCAGGUCGAUGCACUGGCUACUCUUUUGACACCCAUUUCCCUCCGCACCAGUAGUCCUUCGGGGCGACCGUGCGGCGGAGAGUGGUCACGUCAUCAGGGCACACUGUUCAGCUUUGAGGGUGCGACCCUCGAGCACCUUGAGAACUCGAUAGCGAGCGCGAGCAUCUACAGUCAAGUUACAAAGGGCUUACGGUGGAUGCCUUGGCGCCAGGAGCCGAUGAAGGACGCGUCAGGCUGCGAAAAGCUUCGGGGAGCUGCCGAGAAAGCUUUGAUCCGAAGGUGU